GACGAACGCUGGCGGCGUGCUUAACACAUGCAAGUCGAACGGAAAGGCCCUGCUUUUGUGGGGUGCUCGAGUGGCGAACGGGUGAGUAACACGUGAGUAACCUGCCCUUGACUUUGGGAUAACUUCAGGAAACUGGGGCUAAUACCGGAUAGGAGCUCCUGCUGCAUGGUGGGGGUUGGAAAGUUUCGGCGGUUGGGGAUGGACUCGCGGCUUAUCAGCUUGUUGGUGGGGUAGUGGCUUACCAAGGCCUUGACGGGUAGCCGGCCUGCGAGGGUGACCGGCCACAUUGGGACUGAGAUACGACCCAGACUCGUACGGGAGGCAGCGGUGGGGAGUAUAGCACAAUGGGCGGAAGCCUGAUGCGGCAACGCCGCGUGCGGGAUGUCAGCCUUCGGGUUGUAAACCGCUUUCGCCUGUGACGAAGCGUGAGUGACGGUAAUGGGUAAAGAAGCACCGGCUAACUACGUG
rnacentral:rRNA from 1 species